CCUACGGGAGGCAGCAGUGAGGAAUAUUGGUCAAUGGACGGAAGUCUGAACCAGCCAUGCCGCGUGCAGGAUGACGGCUCUAUGAGUUGUAAACUGCUUUUGUACGAGAGUAAUAGUUCUUACGUGUAGGGAUGUGAAUGUAUCGUACGAAUAAGGAUCGGCUAACUCCGUGCCAGCAGCCGCGGUAAUACGGGGGGUGCAAGCGUUGUCCGGAAUCAUUGGGCGUAAAGGGUUCGUAGGCGGCACGGUAAGUCUGAUGUUAAAGCCCGGGGCUCAACUCCGGUUCGGCAUUGAAUACUGUCUAGCUAGAAUGUGGUAGCGGUAAACGGAAUUCCUGGUGUAGCGGUGAAAUGCGUAGAGAUCAGAAGGAACAUCGGUGGCGAAAGCGCUUUACUGGACCAUUAUUGACGCUGAGGAACGAAAGCCAGGGGAGCAAAUGGGAUUAGAUACCCUAGUAGUC
rnacentral:rRNA from 1 species